AUGUUCCAGAUACAGAAAAUCGUCAAACCAUUUACAACAAAGUCCGUUUCUGGGUGGAGUUAGUGGAACCGAAAAAGAUGUCUCCCUCACAGCGUUUGUGACAAAAGAAUUGCAUCGUUCCUUGGUGGCCUUUCAACAGAAGAAUAUUCAGAGAUUUGCCGAGUGAUUCUGAUGUUGGUUCCUGGAAAGCCUCCAUUGUUGGAGGACGAGAAGCCGUAUCCAAUUGAA